GUGAAUCAUCGAAUUUUUGAACGCAAAUUGCACUCUCUUCGGAGAGUAUGAGUGUUUGAGGGUCAGCCUAAAAAAAAACGACGUAGAAGCUGUUUCUCGGUGACAUUCGUCGGAACUUGGGUCAUCUUAAACCUUUGGGUUAUUAAGAGGGUUAAAACUUACUUUAGGAGUGCAGGAAAGUUAUU
rnacentral:misc_RNA from 1 species